GACGGAGGGUGCAAACGUUGUUCGGAAUUACUGGGCGUAAAGCGCGUGUAGGCUGCCCCGCAAGUCGGAUGUGAAAGCCCUGGGCUCAACCUAGGAAGUGCAUUCGAAACUGCGGGGCUGGAGUCCUGGAGAGGAAGGCGGAAUUCUCGGUGUAGAGGUGAAAUUCGUAGAUAUCGAGAGGAACACCGGUGGCGAAGGCGGCCUUCUGGACAGUGACUGACGCUGAGACGCGAAAGCGUGGGGAGCAAACAGG
rnacentral:rRNA from 1 species